rnacentral:misc_RNA from 1 species
GAUGAAGAACGUAGCGAAAUGCGAUAAGUAAUGUGAAUUGCAGAAUUCAGUGAAUCAUCGAAUCUUUGAACGCACAUUGCGCCCGCCAGCAUUCUGGCGGGCAUGCCUGUUCGAGCGUCAUUUCAACCCUCGACUUCCCUUUGGGGAAAUCGGCGUUGGGGACCGGCUGUAUACCGCCGGCCCCGAAAUGAAGUGGCGGCCCGUCCGCGGCGACCUCUGCGUAGUAAUCCAACUCGCACCGGAACCCCGACGUGGCCACGCCGUAAAACCCCCGACUUCUGAACGUUGACCUCGGAUCAGGUAGGAAUACCCGCUGAACUUAAGCAUAUCAAUAAGUGGAGGA